UACAGAGGGUGCGAGCGUUAAUCGGAAUUACUGGGCGUAAAGCGUGCGUAGACGGUUAUGUAAGUCGGAUGUGAAAGCCCCGGGCUUAACCUGGGAAUGGCAUUCGAGACUGCAUAGCUAGGAUGCGGAAGAGGGAAGUGGAAUUUCCGGUGUAGCGGUGAAAUGCGUAGAUAUCGGAAGGAACACCAGUGGCGAAAGCGACUUCCUGGUCCAGCAUCGACGUUCAGGCACGAAAGCGUGGGGAGCGAACAGG
rnacentral:rRNA from 1 species